CCACUGCAGAUUCUGAGCCCAGGGAAUCGGGGCUGGAGAAAUCCCACAUCGGCAGCUGUCAGCAGGACUGAUUGGGUGGGUGACCCUUUCUGUCCACAGCAAUUCUCCUAUAUUUGAAGAACGUAACUUCAGAGCUGAAUGAAAAAGCGUACUUACCCCAAUAACUUUACUGGAAGUGGGCAGCACUGAUGAAAUAGUCACAUGAACUUCCCUUAGCCCCAUUUAUUAAGCGCCUGCAUGUGUAAAUUCCGAGCACUAAGAAAAUAGCUAAAACUGAGCUGAAAGCAGCCCUUCAAACUGAGAAACUGUUCUUCAUCACUAAAGCCUUCGUUUUUAGUUUCACUUCUUUUGGAGAUGGAGUUCUUUAUUUUGCUCUCUUCUCCCAGGAAACCUUGAAUACCACAUUUCAGUCAUCUUUAAAAGAAAGCCUUUCACAUAUGAAGCCUGAAGCUAUCUCAGUGAGAGCUUGAGCCAGAACGAAGGUGAUUUAUCUGAGUGAGAGAGUACCGUGGAGGGUUUCACACCCAUACCGCCUGCAUGUGUUUCUCCAUCACAUUUUUAUUGGAAGGACUAUCAUAGUACCCUGAGCAUAGCUUCUUUGAGAAGUGCUGCUUUUUCUCAUGAAACACACUAUAAACAAAAAAGAGAUUCAAAUGAGCAUUUAGGACAAGUGCCAGAAAAGAUUCUGGAUCCCAUCCAGAGUGCCUCCAAAAGACUAGCUAAUUCCGGGCAGGAGGAAAAGGGAGAAAGAAGGACGGUGUUUCAAACAGGAAACAAAGGGUGGACAAGAGGGAUGAGAAGUCCAAAGGAGGAAGGAGACAGAGAACCUCUAUCACAGGUGAGACAAAAGUGAAGAAGGGCCUUUGUAGCUGGGCUAUCGUCCAGCAUGGAACAUCCUCCAUUCUCCCAUGAGGCCCCUCUCCUG
rnacentral:lncRNA from 1 species